rnacentral:lncRNA from 1 species
AUUGGAGGUUUUUGAAGGUCAAGGGAAUUAGAGAGAGGAGCUUCAUGCUUCGGGUCGGGGAAGGAAAGACAUAGAAUUUGGAUUUUUCUUCUUCAUAGAGUUUUGGGAAGACUGAGGCAAUCGCUGCUGAAGUCAGUGUUGUAAUGGUGAAUCGGGAUUUUUAAAUGAAGUGGAUUUGAAUAGUCUUGACUGUUUUGUAAAAUCGAGUUACGUCUGCGACUGAAGGAUUAAAGCGGUGUCUAUAGGAUUGAGUAUGCAGAGUGAAUGAAAUUUAUUGCGUUAAUCUAACAGGACUGUCAGUGGAUACAAGAUCGUAAGUAUAAAGGGAUAUUGAAGAUUAACAGUUUGGCUUGUUCGAGGUUCUCUGUAACGUCUAAAGACCUAUCGGCUGGGGCAAAAAAAAGACUUCGACAAGCAGUCGAAGAGCAUCCAUAUAGAUUUACAAUACAUUAUUACAGUCGUUUAUAUUUCAGCAGUCAAAAAUUGAUAGACUGCUUGACUAUCGGUGAAUCUCCAUACUACCUUCUACUGCUAGACGCCCGGUGUCGUGUUGUAACACGAGUAUACAGUGAAAAUAAAAAGAAAGGGGAAUUUUAUUAAUAUUCAGUUACCUCUAAUAUUGGGAGCAUCGGCCAACUCCAAUACAAAUACUGAGUGGUCAGGUUCAGUCACUCCGUUAUAGUCAGCCGGGGCAUACUGAAAUGCUCCAUUCGAUUCCAAUAACGGGAGUCAGCAGGAAGAGAAGGACCAAUUCACACGACGGGUUUGAGGAGCCAAUUGGAUCCAAUUUCGAUAAUCCAAUCCGUGUCCUCUUAUCCAAUAUGAGACCUGAAUUGGCCGAUCAACCCAAUGCAGUCUAAUUACGGGAAAUCCAGGUCUUACUACGGAUCUUAGCCAAUCUGACGCGAGGACCAAUUUGACCCAAUUACGGGAACAUCAAGGUUACUACAGGCAUCUUUCCCAAUAUAGGACCUGAAUUGGUCGGUCGACUCAAUGUGGUCUAAUUACGGGAAAUCCAGGUCUUACUACGGGAGGUUUUUGAAGAUCAAGGAAAUUAGAGAGAGGAGCUUCAUGCUUCGGGUCGAGGAAGGAAAGACAUAGAAUUUGGAUUUUUCUUCUUCAUAGAGUUUUGGGAAGACUGAGGCAAUCGCUGCUGAAGUCAGUGUUGUAAUGGUCAAUCGGGAUUUUUAAAUGAAGAGGGUUUGAAUACUCUUGACUGUUUUGUAAAAUCGAGUUAUGUCUGUGAUUGAAGGAUUAAAGGGGUGUCUAUAGGAUUGAGUAUGCGGAGUGAAUGAAAUUUAUUGAGUUAAUCUAACAGGACAGUCAGUGGAUACAAGAUCGUAAGUACAAAGGGGUAUUGA